CUUUCUGAGCGCUGAUUGGCUAAAAUACGAACACGAGAUCACCUGGUAGUGGGCGGGUAUUUCCGGAGGCAGACUGGUCGCACUAUGUCUAUGUCACCAUGGAUAAUAAAAUACAUGGAUAGGAAACUAGCUGACGUGACCUAAUGUUUUCAAUGGGAUGAUGGCGUUGAAACCUAGUUGCAAACCAAAUUCUCAAAAACGGCAUGUUUAGCGAUAAUACAGCUAAACGUUUUAGUCAAACAGCAAAUAAAUAUAACUACGCCAUUCUACGAUGAAAUCUCUAAGUAUUCCCGGUCAAUUUUAGCAAAUAUUUCAAGCACUAAACAGUGAGAAAUGCAUCGCAAAUUUCGUUAAAAUUGGCGACGCCAAUUUCGUAGCUACAAAUGUAAAAAAAUACAAAACACAGACGAAAAACAUUUACCUUGAAUACUUUGUCGUGGCUUAAGCAUGUUUUUAAAACAAUUAGACCAGUUUAUGCUUCAAUAUUACUCUUUUAAAGCGGAAAAUAUAGCGAAACAACA